CAUUUUUAAGUUUUCUGUCAGCCUUUUUUUCUUUUGUCCUGUUUGUUCUGUAACAAAAGCACCAUUUGGGAAUCGUGGAGCGCUUGUUCAUUUACAGACUGGGUCUUUGGCCCUAAACCUGAAGCUGGUGAUGCUGAGCGCGGCGGUGAAGAGGAGAGGGUUCUGAUGGAGGAAGAGCGAGCCGGUCUGCUGCCGGGAUUCAUCACCACCGAACACUAUCACACAGGGUCCGGCCUUCAUUACAUCACUUCACUAUGAGUCUACACACAGUCUGUGCCAGCUGUCACCAUUCUGGCUUAAGUUUUCACUUCGUUUUUAACAUGUUUUUAACAUACCAGAUGCUCUAUUAGCUGCUGUAGAACAGUGAAGGAUAGAUAGCAGUCUUUCAGUAUGGAAAGAGGACGUGGUCAUGUGAUCGUUGUGAUGUCAUCAUUGUAACUGCUGCUUCUGUGAUGCCAUUAAAAUGAAUUCUGGCACUGUAUAUAUACAUAUAACAGAAGGCAUAAAUGAUGCAAGUGUGAUACAGAAUUAAAGUCUCUCCUCAUUAGGAACCAACAGCUUGUUGUGUCUGAUUCAU
ensembl:lncRNA